UUGUGCCUACGGGGCGCAGCAGUGGGGAAUAUUGGGCAAUGGGCGCAAGCCUGACCCAGCAACGCCGCGUGAAGGAAGAAGGCCCUCGGGUUGUAAACUUCUUUUAUUCGGGACGAAACAAAUGACGGUACCGAAUGAAUAAGCCACGGCUAACUACGUGCCAGCAGCCGCGGUAAUACGUAGGUGGCAAGCGUUAUCCGGAUUUACUGUGUGUAAAGGGCGUGUAGGCGGGAGGGCAAGUCAGACGU
rnacentral:rRNA from 1 species